UCUACGGGUGGCUGCAGUGGGGCAUAUUGGGCAAUGGGCGCAAGCCUGACCCAGCAACGCCGCGUGAAGGAAGAAGGCUUUCGGGUUGUAAACUUCUUUCAAGAGGGAAGAGCAGAAGACGGUACCUCAUGAAUAAGCCACGGCUAACUACGUGCCAGCCGCCGAGGUAAUACGUGGGUGGCAAGCGUUGUCCGGAUUUACGUGGUGUAAAGGGCGGGCAGGCGGGAAGUCAAGUCCGAUGUGAAAUCCCCGGGCUCAACCGCGGAACUGCAUUUGAAACUGUUUGUCUUGAGUGCCGGAGAGGUUGGCGGAAGUCCGUGUGUAGCAGUGAAAUGCGUAGAUAUAAGGAAGAACACCAGUGGCGAAGGCGGCUGACUGGACGGCAACUGACGGUGAGGCGCGAAAGCGUGGGGAGCAAACAGGAUUAGAUACCCCAGUAGUC
rnacentral:rRNA from 1 species